GCAGGACUUUCUCAUUGGAGGGCAGGAUGGAAAGAUUGGACAAAAGAGAGGAAAGAGUCUAUUUGUUUGCGGGAGAGUGAGGUUGCACCGAUACAGUCAUCAAUAUAACGACCAUAUAGUUCGGGAGUGGGACCAGUGAAACUUGAGAAUAUUUGGGCCUCAAUGUAGUCAACGAGCAGGUUCGCAUAGUUGGGGCCCAUUCUCGUUCCCA